CCUACGGGAGGCAGCAGUGGGGAAUUUUGGACAGUGGGCGAAAGCCUGAUCCAGCAAUGCCGCGUGAGUGAAGAAGGCCUUCGGGUUGUAAAGCUCUUUUGUCAGGGAAGAAACGGUGAGAGCUAAUAUCUCUUGCUAAUGACGGUACCUGAAGAAUAAGCACCGGCUAACUACGUGCCAGCAGCCGCGGUAAUACGUAGGGUGCAAGCGUUAAUCGGAAUUACUGGGCGUAAAGCGUGCGCAGGCGGUUUUGUAAGUCUGAUGUGAAAUCCCCGGGCUCAACCUGGGAAUUGCAUUGGAGACUGCAAGGCUAGAAUCUGGCAGAGGGGGGUAGAAUUCCACGUGUAGCAGUGAAAUGCGUAGAUAUGUGGAGGAACACCGAUGGCGAAGGCAGCCCCCUGGGUCAAGAUUGACGCUCAUGCACGAAAGCGUGGGGAGCAAACAGGAUUAGAUACCCUGGUAGUCCACGCCCUAAACGAUGUCUACUAGUUGUCGGGUCUUAAUUGACUUGGUAACGCAGCUAACGCGUGAAGUAGACCGCCUGGGGAGUACGGUCGCAAAGAUUAAAACCGCAAAGAGAGUAGAGNGNGAGAGNGACGACGGACGACGAGAGGGAGGAGG
rnacentral:rRNA from 1 species